rnacentral:ribozyme from 1 species
CACUUAUCCGCGCCUUCCCCCUCCUGGCACACUAUAGCUAUCCA